rnacentral:rRNA from 1 species
GACGAACGCUGGCGGCGUGCUUAACACAUGCAAGUCGAACGGAAAGGCCCCUUUGGGGGUACUCGAGUGGCGAACGGGUGAGUAACACGUGAGUAACCUGCCCUUGACUUCGGGAUAACUUCAGGAAACUGGGGCUAAUACCGGAUAGGAAUCCUUGCUGCAUGGUGGGGGUUGGAAAGCUUCGGCGGUUUUGGAUGGACUCGCGGCUUAUCAGCUUGUUGGUGGGGUAGUGGCUUACCAAGGCUUUGACGGGUAGCCGGCCUGAGAGGGCGACCGGCCACAUUGGGACUGAGAUACGGCCCAGACUCCUACGGGAGGCAGCAGUGGGGAAUAUUGCACAAUGGGCGGAAGCCUGAUGCAGCAAGGCCGCGUGCGGGAUGACGGCCUUCGGGUUGUAAACCGCUUUCAGCAGGGGCGAAGCUUGUGGUGACGGUACCUGCAGAAGAAGCACCGGCUAACUACGUG